rnacentral:tRNA from 1 species
AGAAAUAUGUCUGACAAAAGAAUUAUUUUAAUAGGAUAAAUUAUAGUGGUUUAAAUCCCCUUAUUUCUA